GAGGAAUAUUGGACAAUGGGCGGUAGCCUGAUCCAGCCAUGCCGCGUGCAGGAAGACAGUCCUAUGGACCGUAAACUGCUUUUGUACGGGAAGAACCGGGGGCACGCGUGCCCCCCUGACGGUACCGUAAGAAUAAGGAUCGGCUAACUCCGUGCCAGCAGCCGCGGUAAUACGGAGGAUCCGAGCGUUAUCCGGAAUCAUUGGGUUUAAAGGGUCCGUAGGCGGGCCGUUAAGUCAGGGGUGAAAGUCUGCGGCUCAACCGUAGGACUGCCCUUGAUACUGGCGGCCUUGAGUUAUGGUGAAGUGGCCAGAAUAUGUGGUGUAGCGGUGAAAUGCAUAGAUAUCACAUGGAAUACCGAUUGCGAAGGCAGGCCACUAACCAUAUACUGACGCUGAUGGACGAAAGCGUGGGUAGCGAAC
rnacentral:rRNA from 1 species